GACGAACGCUGGCGGCGUGCUUAACACAUGCAAGUCGAACGAAGUGGCGAACGGGUGAGUAACGAGUAAUCAACCUGCCCUUCAGAGGGGGACAACAGUUGGAAACGACUGAUAAUACCGCAUACUGAAGGAGGGGAUUGCGUCGGAAUAGCUAGUUGGAGGGGUAACGGCCCACCAAGGAGAUGAUCAGUAGCCGGUUGGAGAGGACGAACGGCCACAUUGGGAGUGAGACACGGCCCAGAUCCCUACGGUAGGCAGCAGUGGGGAUUCUUCCGCAAGGGACGAAAGUCUGACGGAGCAACGCCGCGUGAGGUAUGACGGCCUUCGGUUUGUAAAGCUCUGUUAAUCGGUACGCGGGACCGGAAUAGAAAGCCACGGCUAACUACGUGCCAGCAGCCGCGGUAAUAC
rnacentral:rRNA from 1 species